rnacentral:rRNA from 1 species
GAUGAACGCUGGCGGCGUGCCUAAUACAUGCAAGUCGAGCGAACAGAUGAGGAGCUUGCUCCUCUGACGUUAGCGGCGGACGGGUGAGUAACACGUGGAUAACCUACCUAUAAGACUGGGAUAACUUCGGGAAACCGGAGCUAAUACCGGAUAAUAUAUUGAACCGCAUGGUUCAAUAGUGAAAGACGGUUUUGCUGUCACUUAUAGAUGGAUCCGCGCCGCAUUAGCUAGUUGGUAAGGUAACGGCUUACCAAGGCAACGAUGCGUAGCCGACCUGAGAGGGUGAUCGGCCACACUGGAACUGAGACACGGUCCAGACUCCUACGGGAGGCAGCAGUAGGGAAUCUUCUGCAAUGGGCGAAAGCCUGACGGAGCAACGCCGCGUGAGUGAUGAAGGUCUUCGGAUCGUAAAACUCUGUUAUUAGGGAAGAACAAAUGUGUAAGUAACCAUGCACGUCUUGACGGUACCUAAUCAGAAAGCCACGGCUAACUACGUG